rnacentral:rRNA from 1 species
GACGAACGCUGGCGGCGUGCUUAACACAUGCAAGUCGAACGGUGAAGCUCCAGCUUGCUGGAGUGGAUCAGUGGCGAACGGGUGAGUAACACGUGAGCAACCUGCCCCUGACUCUGGAAUAAGCGCUGGAAACGGCGUCUAAUACUGGAUACGAGAAGGGUCCGCAUGGGCACUUUCUGGAAAGUUUUUCGGUUGGGGAUGGGCUCGCGGCCUAUCAGCUUGUUGGUGAGGUAAUGGCUCACCAAGGUGACGACGGGUAGCCGGCCUGAGAGGGCGACCGGCCACACUGGGACUGAGACACGGCCCAGACUCCUACGGGAGGCAGCAGUGGGGAAUAUUGCACAAUGGGCGAAAGCCUGAUGCAGCGACGCCGCGUGAGGGAUGACGGCCUUCGGGUUGUAAACCUCUUUUAGCAGGGAAGAAGCGAAAGUGACGGUACCUGCAGAAAAAGCGCCGGCUAACUACGUG